rnacentral:rRNA from 1 species
UACGUAGGGUGCGAGCGUUAAUCGGAAUUACUGGGCGUAAAGCGUGCGCAGGCGGUCCGCAAAGUCUGAUGUGAAAGCCCCGGGCUCAACCUGGGAACUGCAUUGGAAACUAACGGGCUCGAGUGUGGCAGAGGGGGGUGGAAUUCCACGUGUAGCAGUGAAAUGCGUAGAGAUGUGGAGGAACACCGAUGGCGAAGGCAGCCCCCUGGGCUAACACCGACGCUCAGGCACGAAAGCGUGGGGAGCGAACAGG